UACGUAGGCAGCAAGCGUUGUUCGGAGUUACUGGGCGUAAAGAGUGCGUAGGCGGUCUUUUUAAGUUUGGUGUGAAAUCUCCCGGCUCAACUGGGAGGGUGCGCCGAAAACUGGAAGGCUUGAGGAUGGGAGAGGCAUGCGGAAUUCCUGGUGUAGCGGUGAAAUGCGUAGAUAUCAGGAGGAACACCUGCGGUGUAGACAGCAUGCUGGACCAUUUCUGACGCUGAGGCACUGAAAGCGUGGGUAGCAAACAGGA
rnacentral:rRNA from 1 species